rnacentral:lncRNA from 1 species
CUAUUUCUUAUUCUAGUCUUCUAGAGAAUUAGAAAGACUCAAAGAUAGAAAAGUGAGACCGAGGAGUGAGGUCUGAGAACAGAGAGGAGAGAACUGAAACGGUGAAACCCUAACACCUAAAGCAGCAGCCGCCAGCCAGUACCCAGGAGCCAGCAACCCUUUCCGCCUCCGCUCGUUGUCGUCUACUUCCACCAGUCGUCGGUCUCCCUCCUCUCGCCAUCUCGUCUCUCCACUUCUCCAGGUACUCUUCUUAUCCUCGUCUAAAUGAUUUAGAGACUGCUUAUCGUAGAUUUUAACUUUUUUGAGAUACAAAUAGUUAUUUCAAGGAGUUGGGGACUUUAGUGGCAGGAAGCAGUUAGGGCAAAGCUUGGGGUUAGCACUACAGUUGAUGUACCUUUUCUUUAACACAACACUCUUGCAUCCGAAUGUGCGUUUAGUACGGGAGGACGUCUUCAAGAUUGGCUUCCACAAGUAUUGCUUCACCACUUCCAGCUCAAAUAUACACAAGCUUAAAUUUGCCCUAAGUUGGGAUUGAAUACUGAAGUUUAAUCUGUUCCAACUGGAAUUUGAAGAUGGCUCAGGUAUCUCUUUUUAUUUUCAAACUUUUGGUUCAUUUUUGUUUUUGUUCUUUUGAUUUUUUUGCCGAACCUCUCCUCCUAUUAUUCUUUCUCUGGCAGAAUCAAUGGUAUCUUAUGAUUUUUCAACGAUUAGACAUAAUUUUUAGUGAAUUCGAAGUUAUGAGCUGUGUAUGCCAGGGGCGGAGCCAGGGUCUUAUAUAAAGGGGAUUCGAAAAAUCUCACACCUAGAAUUUGACGUCAUGACCUAAAGUGAUUUUUG